rnacentral:rRNA from 1 species
GUCUUUUCAUGACUUUGCAAAGUUUGUAGAAUUAGGGUUGGAUAAAGCACGGUGCCCAGCCGCCGCGUUAACACUGGCGCCUCAAGUGGUAGUUCGUGUUAUGGGUCUAUAACGUCUGUAGCCGGUUUUGGUACAUUCGUGGUUUAAUCAAUCUCGUUCAAUCGAUUUGAAUUCUGCGAGCACGCCCAGACUUGGUACCGGGAGAGGUGUGGGGUACUCUCAGGGUAGGGGUUAAAAUCCUGUCAUCCUGAGAGGACCACUCUGUUGCGAAGGCGCCACACUAGAACGGAUCCGACGGUCAGGGACGAAGCCUAGGGGCCUCGAACCGGAUUAAAUACCCGGUUAUUCCUAGGUGUAAACGCUGUGGACUUGAUGUUGGAGAAGCUCCGAGCUUCUUCAGUGUCGAAGCGAAGGUGAUAAGUCCACUGCCUGGGAAGUACGGUCGCAAGGCUGA